AUUGAACGCUAACGGGAUGCUUUACACAUGCAAGUCGAACGGCAGCGCGGACUUCGGUCUGGCGGCGAGUGGCGAACGGGUGAGUAAUGUAUCGGAACGUGCCCAGUAGCGGGGGAUAACUACGCGAAAGCGUAGCUAAUACCGCAUACGCCCUACGGGGGAAAGCAGGGGAUCGUAAGACCUUGCACUAUUGGAGCGGCCGAUAUCGGAUUAGCUAGUUGGUGAGGUAACGGCUCACCAAGGCGACGAUCCGUAGCUGGUUUGAGAGGACGACCAGCCACACUGGGACUGAGACACGGCCCAGACUCCUACGGGAGGCAGCAGUGGGGAAUUUUGGACAAUGGGGGCAACCCUGAUCCAGCCAUCCCGCGUGUGCGAUGAAGGCCUUCGGGUUGUAAAGCACUUUUGGCAGGAAAGAAACGUCGCGGGCUAAUACCCCGUGGAACUGACGGUACCUGCAGAAUAAGCACCGGCUAACUACGUG
rnacentral:rRNA from 1 species